CUGAGUUACCAACUCUCAAACCCUGUGAACCUACCUGUUUGUUCUUCUGGCGGGCGACCCCUGGGAGGGGUUGUAGCCAAGGUUUUGGCGCCCGCCAGCAGUACGCAAAAUUCUGGUAUCUAGCUGUCUGAGCAACUAUAAAUAAAGAAUCA
rnacentral:misc_RNA from 1 species